rnacentral:lncRNA from 1 species
GCAGAACCACGAAGAUGACGGAUCAGUUCUUUCUCAGGAUGUUUUUACUCUGUGGGAGGAUUUUUGGAUUUGAAUAAAACAUCAUAACCUGUUCAGUUGAAGCUGAAGGAUUUUAUUGAAGAAGAGCGGGUGAUGUUUGAAGCAGCAGGAGGAGCCAGGUGGUGGAUGUGGAGGAGAAAAUCACACAGACAGGAGUCACCGAGUCUCCUGAGGACUGGAGGGUUUGAACAGUUUGUUUCCGCAGCGCGUGUUCUGCCUGCUGGGUUUUAUUAAUGAACUGUAUGUUUGCUGGCAUAUUGAUCUCUUCGCAGAUUGACAUAUUUGCUUGUUAGUUUCUUUCCUCCUCGCCGGGAUGUUCGCUCAUGUUUGUUGCUAUGGCAGUCGACCUACAGCUGCUCGGAUAUCGAUUUCUGCAUCAGCUCCGGUAAGUUGGGGGUCUGUGUCGGUCUUUGUAGCAGAGCAGUUUCAGUUGUUCUGUGAGUUUUAACAUCUUUUUAUAGCUUUGAAUCAUCUUCGCAGGAUUUUCCUCUUUGGAUUCAACUUCUGCAGAAUCAUCUCCACCGUCGGCGCUCUGACACACCUCCACAUUUCUCACUCACAUCAGAGCUGCGAACGAAAGAGCGACUGAGCUGGAAUAUUGUAAAGGAGACAUAACAAAGUCGACGUACACGAUCUGAGAGUGAAAUGUUAAACUAACUUUGACAGUAAGAGUUUGAUUGUUACCUGUUCAAGAAAUCUCCUGAUCUCAGACAGCUAAUCAAUACUCAAGCUUCAAGGUGCAGCUUCACAGCGAGAGAGGGAGAGAGUGAGAGAGACAGAGUGCAGUGAAGCAGCGGUGUGCCGCCGCUGAACAGAGACUCCUGAUACUCUCACUGAUGUCUAUUUACACCGAACUAAAACUUCACUAAACUCCAAUAAACAAAA